ACGGGAGGCAGCAGUGGGGAAUAUUGCACAAUGGGGGAAACCCUGAUGCAGCAACGCCGCGUGAAGGAAGACGGUCUUCGGAUUGUAAACUUUUGUUCUUAGUGAAGAUAAUGACGGUAGCUAAGGAGAAAGCCACGGCUAACUACGUGCCAGCAGCCGCGGUAAUACGUAGGUGGCAAGCGUUGUCCGGAAUUACUGGGUGUAAAGGGAGCGCAGGCGGGAAAUCAAGUUGGAUGUGAAAUGUCGGGGCUUAACCCCGGAACUGCAUCCAAAACUGAUUUUCUUGAGUGAAGUAGAGGUAGGCGGAAUUCCGAGUGUAGCGGUGAAAUGCGUAGAUAUUCGGAGGAACACCAGUGGCGAAGGCGGCCUACUGGGCUUUAACUGACGCUGAGGCUCGAAAGUGUGGGGAGCAAACAGGAUUAGAUACCCUGGUA
rnacentral:rRNA from 1 species